AUAUAAAAAAUAGAAUAGGGAGAGAAACGAGAAAGAAAAGAGGGUAGAAAAAUAGAGAGAGAGAGAGAGAUAGAGAGUAAUGACAGAAAUGAUAUAGGAGAGAUGAAGAGCCGAGGGAAAUAAAUACAAAAAAGAGAGAAAGUUGUUUUUAAAAUAUGGAAAACCGACAGUUCAACGCGAACAAAAAAACAAGGAAUGGAAGACAAGGAGAAUAAAGCAAAGCAAAAUUAUGAGUACAGCCUCGCUAAGGAUAACAGCAGUAUAUCUGAAGAAUAGAACGAAAGGUGUAUGAAUGCAUGAGCAGACAACAGAAAAAUAAGAAAAUGAGAAAAAUGUGACGCUAUUUUAACGGUCAGAUGUGCACCCAUAUGGUAGAGGCGCAAGAAACUACUAACAGAGCACGUAUUCCCCUCUUCACUACAAUUGGGAUUUUCGCAUCAAUGAUAAUGUACUUCUUGUUGUGCUAUGCCACAUUUCGCCGCCGUUCAAUAUAUGUUGCCGCACCCGAAGUAACAGCAAGGGAUAGGCAUGAAUGGUGGUGUGUAGCACUGUGUGUGGUGUGUGUGUGUGUGCUGUAAACGAAUAAUUAGCCUGAACGGAUCGUCGGGUGUGUAUCGAAAAAGUUUAAGAAGAGAAAAAAAAUCACAAAAUCGAUGUGAAUAACAUAAUAUAUAGCCUAUAUAUAUAUACAUGUAAUUACGAACAGGAUUUGCUGCUAAUUAGUGGAAACAGGAAGCGAUGAUAAGCGUGCCCAACGUGAAUAUGCAUUGGCGAUUCCAGGCGCGAUAAACCUGAGGGCGGCGUGUACAUCUGUAGGUGAGUGUAACGCCAGUUUAGGAUGCGUCAAAAAGGGACGUUGAAAGUGCGUUUGUUGCCACCAUUAUAUAGACAGAUAUGAGUAGAAGGGGAAGCGAGAGCGAGAACGAGAGAGAAAGAGAGUCAGAGUGAGACCAAGAGAGAAAGUAACUAAUGCCAGCCGAACCCGGAACGAAAAUACAAACCACACGGAAACGUACGUAGAAAGGGAAGCAACAACCCCAUGUCUCUCCAGUAGCAACUUUAGCACAUUUGCAAACAGCUCCAAAAACGUUUUAUUGUUCGGUGUUACAUGGUUUGUAAAGUAGAGGAAACAAUUGUAUCCACCGCAGUGACAGGUGAUAUAGGGAAAUCGUUCCCUUCAUCCACUCGCAAUACAUACGCAUCAACCUCUGUCGUCGUCCAUUUGUUUGGGCUGCCUCUGUGAACUUCUUGUACAUGUGUACAUGCACGCGUAUCGUAUGGCAAAAUUUGGGUUUAAAUCUAUUGUUCUGUUGCGUCAGUUAUACUACUAACAACCACUACCGGAUUGCGUUUGGUGCGAAUUACUUACCCAUUUGUGAUAGUUUUGAUCCCGGUGUAGUUUUGAUCCCGGUGGCUUGCAGUGCAUUGGUUUUUUUUCUUCGUAUAUUUUAAGCAUCAUAACUGUGACACCAUAUGAAAUUUCUAUUAUCUAUCAGGAGCAAAUGGGCUGAACAAAGCAGCAAAGGAAAGAAGAAAAAAAAAUAUCUCGCCACUUAAACUCAGCAUGAAAGAAUGGCUUAUUUGGUGGCGGUAUGUCAAAAGAAGAAGUUAUCGGAGGGAUCAAACAUCAAUAGAAGGGUGUGUAUGUGGUAGCGAGGCUGGACACACCACGAAGAAGAAGGCUUAAACGUAUGAGUGAAAGCUGAAAAACAAGUGAAAUGGAAGAGGCAAAAAUAUACUCUAAAUACUCCUAGGCCCAUUAUAGAGAAGUAGAGAGAAGGCGGAUAGGGGAAACCGCUUAGUUAAAAUGAUUUAGAGAAAAAUUAAAACCAAGCUGAAGGGAAUUUAAAAUCGGACGUAGUUUACAAAAAAGGAUACAGAUGAUGCCUCACGCGGGGGUACACAGCUGUACAAGAAGCUCCCAGGAGAGAGUACCAUAACUACUGAAGACGGCAGGGCGGGGAGGGCUAUGAUGCUAUGAAGACGAGUGUGUCGUGAUGAGAAAAGCCCAUGUUCUUUCUCUACACCACCACCACCACCACCAUCUCCAUCACGGGAAGAUCCUUUCUCCUACCCCGCACACAGUCAAUCUGGGUGUGUACGUGUGUACGUGGUGGAGUAUGGAUUGUUGUGGAUCAAACAAUACCAGGAGAGCUACAAAAUAUGCAAAAUGCUUCUAACAAAAAAAAAAAACAAAACAAGACGAUACAAAGGUACCGCGGAUAGAUUGUAUGGAAAUUAUUGAUGAAAACAAGAAAUAAACAAAAAAGAGAGGCAGAUGAAAAAUACCCCUUUAGAGUACAAACAGUGCUCUAUAGUAAAGAAGCAUAUAAAGGAUUGUGUGUGUGUGUGUGUUUGUGUUUUUACUUCCUCUGGUGCGCACCCAAUGUUGCGCUUUUAACGAAAGAAAUAGCGAAUUAAUUAAUAACAAAAAAAAAACAAUUAAAUCAAUAUGACGGCUUGAUCUGGAUUGUAUUGCUGCAUGUUCUUCUUGAUUCUAACUCAGUUCAAAUGUCUUCCGAUCACUAUCUACUAACGAAUGGCUCUUGAUGCUUGCACGGCGUGUCACGACCACUUCCAAUUAAGCGUGUCGUCACAGUAGCCAUCGAAACUUGCACGAACGUUGAUUAUACCAGGCCGAUCCUGGGAAUUACCUGCAGUAGGUGAAAGGGCGUAAAAUUGCUUUACGAGUUGUGUAAUUAACCAAUCGAAGCAAGCGUGGUGUAAAAAAAGGUGUGGACUAUAGUGUUGGACCACAAAGGGCGCUAGUUUGCCCUUCAACGACAAACAUAGAUCGACCGCGUCCUUGUGGAUUGGAGACGACGAAAGUAACACCACAACAACACGUGGAAAGUUGCUAUCGCAAAGUCUGCUUAAGGAUAUUGAAAGUAGUACCCCGGAGGACCACCAUCGGUGACGUCAAUAGUGACGAACGAAUCGAAAGCAACAUUUGCGAAUUCUAAUGAGAUAUGACUCGAAAACGGAAGAAAGCGAAAAUAAGGUCAUUGACACUGGAGACCACUAAGGUGCUCGUGAGUUGGCGUAGAACGAGAACAUGUAAUGAUGAAAAAUUGAAUGAAGCAACACAACAGACAGCACCAAUCAUCCCAAUCACUAUAAAACGAGGGUAAAAGGAUAUAUGAAGUAGUGGUGAUCAGAAUCGGCUCCGGAAUCGGAAUGGACCUCGGAAUCGCAAUUUGCUCCGGUAACGGAUUCAGAAUUGACUCUAGAAUUCGAAUUAGCUCCAGAAUGAGAAUCAGUUCUUGAAUUGUAAUAAGAAGAUUCAGGAAGAAAAUCAGUCCGGGAAUCCCCAUGAGAAUGGAUCAUUAAUAAUAGUAAAUUGUGAUUCUUUGCUGUUAUCAAUAAGUAGCAUCAUUGGAUCCAAACGUCUAUUCUUAUGAAGAUUCC